UCAGGUGGAAGGACAGUCCAUGAGCCAGCAACUGUGGUAACGCAGGAGAGAAAUUUGGGCAACGCUGGCCUCUGGGGAACCCUGACACCCCACAUGCUCUCCACAGGACUCAACCCCCAGCCCUGGAGCAGGGACGUCUAUAAGAAGCAUGGGGUGGUGGGUAGGAGCUUGGAGAGGGAGCUGUCGAGGGCUUGGGUAGACGCUGCAGCAGCUAGAAGGAUCAGUGACCCACCUGAGCAGGUUGGCGAGCUGCUGCAGCUGGGCUGAAGUCAGCGACUCCUGGCCUGUCAGCGGCAGUGGGGGGUCAUCUACCACAUCAGGGGCCUUCCGGCACAGCUUCUGAGCAGGAGAAAGGAGCUUAUAGCCCUGGCCUAGGGGGCUCGUCUGCCCUCAGCAGCCCCACCCUGCCCACCCUGUGCUCACUGCACACCUUAACCAGGUGGACGCAAUGGCAGUGACCGGGCUGGGGUUGUGUGCCUCCGUAUGGAAGACAGGGUUUGACGAGCGCCACUCGAGCACCGACAGCGUGCCAUCCGUGUACCCCACCAUGGGCAGGUACCUACGAGCAACAAUAGCCUGUUGGCGAGGGCCCUGUCGCCACACCUGGCCCUUGAUGGCUCUGGCACUCACCGGUUCUUGUCCUUCCAGGCCCAGGCCAUGUCGCUUCGGCACAGCUCGCCCCCGCGCUGGCGCACGAUCUCCCAUAUGGCAAAUGCACUACUGGGGUCUAUGAGGUGGCUGUAGAGGUGCAGGCAGCAGGGCCUGCGCGCCGGGGGCGGUGGAGGGC
rnacentral:lncRNA from 1 species